GUGCUCACUUUGGCAGCACAUAUACUAAAAUUGGAACAAUACAGAGAAGAUUAGCACGGCCCCUGUGCAAGGAUGACACGCAAAUUCGUGAAGCAUUCCAUAUUUUU
ensembl:snRNA U6 U6 spliceosomal RNA